rnacentral:snRNA from 1 species
AUAUGGUCGUAUAUGAAACUUGUU